UACAGGCAAACAGAGAGAAGGGAAAAGAAACAAUCUGUGCUCUCAAAUAACAAAGCAGUCUCAAAUCUUUUUGAGGAAUUACAGCUAAAAAAAAAUUGUACUUUGCAUACAGUACAUCCUCUGAUAAAUAAAGUGAAGUACUUUGAUUGUAUUUCUGUGAUGUUCCUGUAGGUGACCAUGAUGCAGCCAGACUGAAGCAGCAUGUUGUGAAGGUGGACGCCAUCAUCUUGUCUUUGCAGUGCUGAUUCUGAAGAGAACUCCUUCACAUAGGACUCAAAGGAAAUCAGUCCUUAAAGGAAACAGCAGUACAGACUCUGAUUCCAGCUCUGUAAAUGCCCUCAGAUUCAGAUCCAUCAGCAACCCCUGACAACAUGGAGGACUCGUCCCCUGAGCGUUUCCUGUCCUCUCUCCAUGGAGUUCUUCUCUUCAGUCAUUAACUCUUGAAAACAGAAGCACAAC